rnacentral:rRNA from 1 species
GACGAACGCUGGCGGCGUGCUUAACACAUGCAAGUCGAACGGAAAGGCCCUGCUUGCCGGGUACUCGAGUGGCGAACGGGUGAGUAACACGUGGGUGAUCUGCCCUGCACUUCGGGAUAAGCCUGGGAAACUGGGUCUAAUACCGGAUAGGAGCCAUUUUUAGUGUGAUGGUUGGAAAGUUUUUUCGGUGUAGGAUGAGCUCGCGGCCUAUCAGCUUGUUGGUGGGGUAAUGGCCUACCAAGGCGGCGACGGGUAGCCGGCCUGAGGGGGUGGACGGCCACAUUGGGACUGAGAUACGGCCCAGACUCCUACGGGAGGCGGCAGUGGGGAAUAUUGCACAAUGGGCGCAAGCCUGAUGCAGCGACGCCGCGUGGGGGAUGACGGCCUUCGGGUUGUAAACUCCUUUCGCUAGGGACGAAGCUUUUUGUGACGGUACCUAGAUAAGAAGCACCGGCUAACUACGUG